GGAGAGAUGCAGGAGUGGUUGAACUGGCACGCCUGGAGAGCGUGUGUACCCCUCAAGGGUACCGUGGGUUCGAAUCCCACUCUCUCCG
rnacentral:tRNA from 1 species